rnacentral:rRNA from 1 species
UACGUAGGGUGCAAGCGUUGUCCGGAAUUAUUGGGCGUAAAGGGCUCGUAGGCGGUCCAUCACGUCGGGAGUGAAAAGCUGGGGCUUAACCCCAGUCCUGCUUCCGAUACGGGUGGACUAGAGGUAGGCAGGGGAGAACGGAAUUCCUGGUGUAGCGGUGAAAUGCGCAGAUAUCAGGAGGAACACCGGUGGCGAAGGCGGUUCUCUGGGCCUUACCUGACGCUGAGGGACGAAAGCUAGGGGAGCGAAAGGG